AUUGAACGCUAGCGGCAUGCCUUACACAUGCAAGUCGAACGGUAACGCGGGGCAACCUGGCGACGAGUGGCGAAUGGGUGAGUAAUGCAUCGGAACGUGCCCAGUAGUGGGGGAUAGCCCGGCGAAAGCCGGAUUAGUACCGCAUACGACCUUCGGGUGAAAGGGGGGGAUCGCAAGACCUCUCGCUAUUGGAGCGGCCGAUGUCAGAUUAGGUAGUUGGUGGGGUAAAAGCCUACCAAGCCGACGAUCUGUAGCUGUCUGAGAGGACGACCAGCCACACUGGGACUGAGACACGGCCCAGACUCCUACGGGAGGCAGCAGUGGGGAAUUUUGGACAAUGGGCGCAAGCCUGAUCCAGCCAUGCCGCGUGCGGGAAGAAGGCCUUCGGGUUGUAAACCGCUUUUGUCAGGGAAGAAACGCUUCGAGCUAAUACCUCGGAGUAAUGACGGUACCUGAAGAAUAAGCACCGGCUAACUACGUGCCAGCCGCCGCUGUAA
rnacentral:rRNA from 1 species